CAGUCGCCGCGGUAAUACGAAGGGUGCAAGCGUUACUCGGAAUUACUGGGCGUAAAGCGUGCGUAGGUGGUGGUUUAAGUCCGUUGUGAAAGCCCUGGGCUCAACCUGGGAAUUGCAGUGGAUACUGGAUCACUAGAGUGUGGUAGAGGAUAGUGGAAUUUCCGGUGUAGCAGUGAAAUGCGUAGAGAUCGGAAGGAACAUCUGUGGCGAAGGCGACUAUCUGGGCCAACACUGACACUGAGGCACGAAAGCGUGGGGAGCAAACAGGAUUAGAGACCCCCGUAGUCCCUGUCUCUUAUAC
rnacentral:rRNA from 1 species